rnacentral:rRNA from 1 species
GAUGAACGCUAGCGGGAGGCCUAACACAUGCAAGCCGAGCGGUAUUUGUUCUUCGGAACAGAGAGAGCGGCGCACGGGUGCGGAACACGUGUGCAACCUGCCUUUAUCUGGGGGAUAGCCUUUCGAAAGGAAGAUUAAUACCCCAUAAUAUAUUGAGUGGCAUCAUUUGAUAUUGAAAACUCCGGUGGAUAGAGAUGGGCACGCGCAAGAUUAGAUAGUUGGUGAGGUAACGGCUCACCAAGUCAAUGAUCUUUAGGGGGCCUGAGAGGGUGAUCCCCCACACUGGUACUGAGACACGGACCAGACUCCUACGGGAGGCAGCAGUGAGGAAUAUUAGACAAUGGGUAGCGCCUGAUCCAGCCAUCCCGCGUGAAGGACGACGGCCCUAUGGGUUGUAAACUUCUUUUGUAUAGGGAUAAACCUACUCUCGUGAGAGUAGCUGAAGGUACUAUACGAAUAAGCACCGGCUAACUCCGUG